rnacentral:rRNA from 1 species
CAAUAGCGUAUAUUAAAGUUGUUGCGGUUAAAAAGCUCGUAGUUGGAUUUCUGCUGAGGACGACCGGCCCGCCCUCCGGGUGAGCAUCUGGUUCGGCCUUGGCAUCUUCUUGGUGAACGUAUCUGCACUUGACUGUGUGGUGCGGUACCCACAACUUUUACUUUGAGAAAAUUAGAGUGUUUCAAGCAGGCAUACGCCUUGAAUACAUUAGCAUGGAAUAAUAAGAUAGGACCUCGGUUCUAUUUUAUUGGUUUCUAGAGCUGCGGCAAUGAUUAAUAUGGAUAAUUGGAGCAUUCGUAUUUAAUUGUCAGAGGUGGAAUUACUUGGAUUUGUUAAAGACGGACUACUGCGAAAGCAUGUGCCAAGGAGGUUUUCAUUGAUCAAGAACGAAAGUUAGGGGGUCGAAGAUGAUUAGAUACCGU